CGGGACGGGUGAGUAACGUGUGGGCAACCUGCCCUGCACUGGGGAAUAAUCAUUGGAAACGAUGACUAAUACCGCAUACGGUUCCUGGGAGGCAUCUUCUGGGAAAGAAAGGAUUUAUUCGGUGCAGGAUGGGCCCGCAUCUGAUUAGCUAGUUGGUGAGAUAACAGCCCACCAAGGCGACGAUCAGUAGCCGACCUGAGAGGGUGACCGGCCACAUUGGGACUGAGACACGGCCCAAACUCCUACGGGAGGCAGCAG
rnacentral:rRNA from 1 species